rnacentral:rRNA from 1 species
AUUGAACGCUGGCGGCAGGCCUAACACAUGCAAGUCGAACGAGUGGCGGACGUGUGAGUAAUGUCUGGGAAACUGCCUUAUGGAGGGGGAUAUCUACUGGACACUGUAUCUAAUACCGCAUACCAUCGGAUGUGCCCAGAUGGGAUUAGCUAGUAGGUGGUGUAAAGGCUCACCGAGGCGACGAUCCCUAGCUGGUCUGAGAGGAUGACCAGCCACACUGGAACUGAGACACGGCCCAGACUCCUACGUGAGGCAGCAGUGGGGAAUAUUGCACAACGGGCGCAAGCCUGAUGCAGCCAUGCCGCGUGUAUGAAGAAGGCCUUAGGGUUGUAAAGUACUUGCAGCGGGGAGGCGUUACCCGCAGAAGAAGCACCGGCUAACUCCGUGCCAGCAGCCGCGGUAAUAC